UAAUAAAUCUCUCUCUAUCCUUGAUGAUAGAAAAAAAAGAGAUAAAUUAUUACUGGUCCUGGUGAUUCUUUUUUUUUUUUAUUAAAAAGAACCACUCUCGGCCUAAAUAUAAGGCUCGACUUUUUUUUACCAGAUCUUGCAUCUAGUAAAAACCUAGUCGGCUUUAAUAGAUUUUUAUUUUCUAUUAAGUUUAUAGCCAUUCUUAUAUUUUUUAAAA
rnacentral:rRNA from 1 species